GGUAUUUUGACUAUACAAAGGUAUUGAAAUAAGGCUUUAAAUGGGCGCUAAGAGAAUGGUUGAACAAUUAUAAGCUAUCUUUAAUUCAAAAAUUGAAUUUAAUUUUUUUGUGAAGAAGCAAAGAUAAAAAUUAGGGACAAGAAGACCCUAUGAAUUUUAAAUUUAUUAUUUAUUAAUUAAUAAGUAGUAAAUUUGAUUGGGGCGAUAAAAAAAGAUUAGGAAUCUUUUUUUUUUAAAAAAAUGUUCCGUUAUUAGCGAUUAUAUGAAAAAAAUACUCUAGGGAUAACAGCGUAAUAAUUUUGGAAAGUUCAUAUUGAUAAAAUAGUUUGCGACCUCGAUGUUGGAUUAGGAUUCUUUUUUGGUGAAGAAAUUAAAAAAAGAAGUUUGUUCAACUUUUAAAUUCCU
rnacentral:rRNA from 1 species